rnacentral:tRNA from 1 species
AGGUAUAUAGUUCAGUGGUAGAGCAUGUGCUUGGUGUGCACGAGGUCCUAGGUUCAAUCUCCAGUGUCUCUG